rnacentral:lncRNA from 1 species
CAUUAACAUUCUUUUUUUAUGGUCCCCUUCCAUCUUCAAAACCAACAGUGGCUGAUAGAGUCUUUUCUGGUGCUGUGUCACUCGGUCACGAACUCUCCUGCAUCCCUAUUCAAACUUUUAAGGACUUCUGAUUAUGUUGAGACCGCAAGGAUAAUCUCCAUGUCUUCGGUUAAUUAGCAAAUGUGAUCCCCUCUACAGGUAACAUAACAUAUGCACAGGCUCGAAGGAUUUCAAUGUGGAUGUCUUUGGGGAUCCAUUUUUCUGCCUACAGCAGAGGUGUUUGUCUCUCCUAUUCUUCUUUUAGCUCUCUUUUCAUGUAUUUGGUCUUUUUUGUUAACUGCUGAAAGGCAGCAAGAUGGCUAUUGACAGCUACUAGGCUACAGCCUCUUAGGUUCAGGUUCAAUCAGGGAAAGAAAUGUUCUCUUCCUUCCUGUAGUGUGACCUUGGUUCCUGUUUAAGAUUUUCUGAUUUGUGUCAUGUGCACAGUCCCUGUGGGCAGCAAAAUAAAAUGCUCUUUAUCCCCAGACCUUAGUCACACUUUCAACCCCCUAUAUGAUGUAGAUUUAUGAUGGGAGAGAAGGAGACAUAAAAAAAGGGAUUUUCCCCAAGAUAACAGUUAGGCUAAAAAAAUGAAGAAACCAGGAGACCAAAAUAUCCGCUCCAUCACAGUAUAAGGUGGGGGAAAUUCUGUUUUUUUUUGUUUUUGUUUUUGUUUUUUCAGGAAAAUGUAUCUAUUGGGGUAAAUAAUGUCUUUCUAUACACCUGUGUUUGUGGGCGUCACCUCAAGGGCAAACUAGGUAUAUAGGCUCACUGUAAAACUUGGAUCUUAACUUGUCUCUAUAUGUUUUAUCAUCUACAGUAUAUUUUGAUUUCUGCAUGCUAAAAAUUUCUUGCUAAAUGAUGGAAUGUCAUGUUUUAGGUUUUUAAAUUAAAAUAUAUAGUUCAAAAGUUAGGUUAGUUUACUUUUAUCUCUUUCAAAGAAAAAUGAAAAAAAAGCUCCAGAGAUAAGGAAUCAUGCUGACUUGAUAGAUAGAUAAUUAUAUAAAAAUAAUAUUUUAAGAAUAUGGAUGGAUAUGUGAUUUCCCUGCCAGUUUCUCUUCAUGUGUAAAAACUUAAUUUUCUAUUGUGAUCACAGGAUUAAUGUUCUAAACUUUAAGUAAAACAAACUAAUGUUAACACUAUUGUCUAUCUCUUAAUCCUCCACAAAAAACCUCAUAAUGUUCAUUAUAUUUAUGUAGUCAUCCAUAUAUUAAGGACUAAGCUGAGCACUUCUCAUAUAAUUGCCAUUUGCCCUUUGUAAUAAACUAUAAGUUAAAAAUUGUCUAUAGUUUAAAAGUGAAUGAACUGAAGCUCAGAGAGAUUAAUUUGCUCAACACUACAUAGCAUUUAAGUGGAAAUGGAUCUCUCUGACAAAAAUACCUUAUCUGCAAUAAUGGUAUCUUUUUAUUUUAGAGAAAAUGAUAGAUUGAUGCCACCUUGGAGCUUAUGUUCUUCUAAGCUACUCAUAUUAAUAGUACCUGAAAUAUUUUCCUUUUUUCUUGGUCCUUUGUCCUGUAGAUAAACAUUUACGGAAUAAAUCAGUGGAAUAUAUUCUGUUUCCAUCAUUCACAUAUUUGAGACCCCUUUGUGAAGAACACAUGCUUAAGUGAUAAGAAGACAUAACUAUUAACUACACUCUGGUUCUUCUUACAGAUCUUAAAGCUUAGUGGACAAGAUAAGAUAUAUACACACACAGAACAAACACGUACAAGAACAUAAGAGUAUGUAUUAUUUUCCCAGUGAGAAGCACAAAAAAUGUUUAAAAAGAGAAAGACAGUGGACCCACUUUUGGCUGAAGUUGAUGACCAUUUUGAAGAAAAUGGUAUUUGUAGUUAAUUUUGAAGAACAGCUGAUAUUCCAGUGUGUAGAAAUGUGAGAAGAGACUAUGAAGGGUUGAGAAUUCGCACAUAAGAUUGAGAAAUAAAGCGAUAGGGAGAAAAAAAACAGACAACUCUCCACAUUAUAAACAGAGAGUAGAAGAGCUACCGAAGUAGAUCUUUAGGAUUUAUGUUAAAAAUCCAGGAAUAGUUCAUAUUUAGGAUUUAUAGUACAAGUUUGUAAAUUAUGGUUCAAGAAACACAGAAGGCUAUUAAACAAUAAAAGAAGAUUAUUUUUGGAGUUUUUUAAAAAAAAUUGUAAUUUACCUCUUUAGGGAGAAGUAGUCCUUUUUCUGACAAAUUUAGAGACCAUGUUUCCUUUUUUUUUUUUUUUGAAAACUUAUCAAUUUGGGUCAUGUAUGCUUACAGGGGUUCUGAUUUUAAAUCUUACUUUGACAAACCCCUUGAUUUACUUAUAAUAUUCUUUUGCUAAUUUCUCUUACUUUUGUCUUAAUUCUCAUUUUUAAAGCAAAUUAAUUAUGUGGUUCUUUAUUAUAUUGACUAGAAUUAGGACCAUCUUUUCUACUUUUUUAAUUUUAUAAGGAUAUAAAGUUUUUGAUAUUUGCUUUAAAAUUGUACUUCAGCAUAAAUUUCAAAAGAAUUGAUUUCACUCAAAAUAUAUAUUCUUCAUUCAAUUAGAAUUUUGUUUUUAUCUUUUUUAGCACAGGGAAUGAGAAAGCUGUAAGGAAUCCUAGGAAAUCACCCAGUUCAGAAUAAUAGAAUGAUUUCCAUCCGCUUUAAUGAAGAUUUUGAAAUCAUAUUUUAAAACCUUCUUGAUAGGCUAAAUCCAUGCUUAAUAUUCUUAAUACAGAUAAAUUAUCCCUUUUGUUUAUACUGUAGUUAUCAUUUAUUGAUGUUCCCAUUUCUAAAAUGAUAACGGCUGAUGUGAACUCUUUUUGCACAAACCUUUCUAUUAUACUAACUUCUAGUUAGAACUAGACAGGUGAAUGCCUAUAUAUCUUUUGAAGUCUAUACAAAAACUGCGCCUUCAAAUCGUAUUACUGAAGAUUUUGUGGUGUCGAUUUGCAAAGAAAUGUGAUUCAAGUAUAGUGCAGAUGAAACAUAUUCAACACUGCAACUUUGUUAGUGCUGCACUUUGAUCAUCUGAUAAGAUGUCAUCCUUUUUAAACUUGACUAAAAAAAGAAGUGAGUUAAAAUGAUAAUAGCUGAAGAUAGACUGAAUUAUGUUUCAAAAACCUAGUCUUUCCCAUUUGGAGGGAAGUGUGAGUCUUAUCAAUCAUAUUGUUUCCAUGGUAUUUAGUGUUUCAAGGAACUAUGGAGGAAAGGAAGAAAGGAGGCAUGAGAUGCAGUCACAUACUCUGAACUGCCCUAUGAAACAGACAAUAAAAUGAGGGCAUAAGCAUAUGCAUAAUACUAAUAAAAUUAAAUUUAAUAAAAUUGAAUUUAAUGAAAAUUGUUCUCUUUCAUGUAAAAUCACUUAGUUAUCAGGAAUAUGUGGCCCUUUAUAUUUGACUAGAUUGAGGAUAAGGCCUGGGGGCCAUUACUAGCAAGUUCAUAGCUUCUACCAUUUGUAAAGUAAUUAAAUACAAAUCCAGGCUUAGUGAAUAUGUUCACAGUAUGUUUGCAUACAUUCUCUUUGUAUAAAUGCUUUUUAAAAAAAUAGCCAGUGCCUUGAGACAUCACCAGCUUGUGAAUUCAAUGUGAUCAUAUUAAUAUUAGCAAUUCAGAUAUUGCUGUCAUGUGUUGUCUCCAACAUAUUCAAAAGCUCGACAUCCUGGAAGAAAUUGGGAAAAUGUUCCUCUCUCCACUCCAUACCAUAGUGGCAUACCGGGGGCCAGGACAGAUCCUUUCAGAAGCUUCUAUUUAAAAAGAAAAAAGCCUGACAUUUUGUGCAAGAACCUUCAUCCUUGACAAAUAUCAUUCUAUUUAUUUAAUUUCAAUGGAUAGAAAUCAGAAUCUUAGGGUUGCCUGCCCUACCAACUUUCCUAGACCUGUGUUAUCAAUUUUGUUUCAAUAAGUGACCCACCUUCUAUUAUGUGUACUAGCUUGAUGGUUAAGAAAAUUAUAUUCACAAAUUAAGUACUUAACAUCUGUCCCUUGGGAACCAGUCAUCAAUGUAUAAUGGUGAACAAAUCAUAAUCUCUAUCUUAUCCUGCUUUUUAUUGCAUGGAAGCAGCAAUACCCAGUUUGGAUUGUGGUUUAAGAGUUGUUCAUAGAUCAAGUAAUAUUUCAGUUGUGGAAAUAAAAUGGGUAAUGGCUAGUCAUUUUUUCUGGAAGCUAGAAAUUCCAGAAAGAUAGUUAUAGUAUAGAGGCACUGGAAUGAAAAGUAGAGUGGACUAUAAGGUAACUAGAAAUAACUCAGUGUAGCUAGAAUGAUGUGUGUGUGUGUGUGUGUGUGUGUGUGUGUGUGUGUGUGUGUGUGUGUGUGUGUGAGAUGGUUGAUUGGUUUAUGAGCAAGAACACAGCCAAGAGCUUAGGAGAAAAGGGCUUUGAAUGUCUUAUUAGAAAUAUGAAGAUUCAUUUAGGGUCACUGAAAGUAAAUGACAAGGUAAGAUUUAAGGUGUUAGAAAGAUCAGUCUGGCAUCGUUGUAGACAACUGGAGGAGCCCAAACUGAGACUUGAAGACCAAAUAAACAUCAGUUUUGGAAAUGACAGUGACUGUGGCCAUGGCGUGGCAAGAUUAAGUGACACAUUGGAUUUGAAGGCUAGAGAGAGGGAGAGUACAAGAAAUUUUUUGGUUUCUUACUUGUGAAUGAGAAACAUGGUGACAUUAUUCCCUGAGAUAAGAAACAUAACAGGGAUGAUUUUACAUAAAUUAUAUAUCACAGUAAUGAUUUGAUUUAGAUCUUGUUUUUAUGAUUAUCUGGAUGAGGAAACCUGGGAGCAACAGAAACUAAUGAAGUUAUUUUCGUAAAACUCCACUGGCAAUCUAGCUGCCACAGUAAAUACCUUCUAUAUGACCUAAAACCUGUAGUUUUUCCUCUACACCAAUGCUGUGGUGAUUAAAAUAUAUAUAUGAAAAAAAACAGAACCAAAAAUCUGUAGAUCACUUUGUAUAUUAUAAACAGUAUCCUCAUCUUGUAAAAGAGUUAAUACACUUUGGAAGAGCGAGACAAGAAUAAAGUGGCCUCUCCAGUGAUAAUGUGUGUGGAUCUUCUAUAACCAGAUAAGAGAUUAAAUUAAUAGUCAAAAAAUAGAUAUUCCUUCUCAAAACUUAGAGUCUCAAGGAAAGAUACUCUGGAUCAUACCAAAAGGGCCAUGACUCUGUGCUUUAACUCUCUGAGAAUCUAUUUGGCCUAAUUUGUUAAAAUGAAAGCAUGAUGUGGUAACAAGCCAAUUGGCUGCAGUCAAGUGCUCUUUUGAAGACUCUGCAAUAUAGAAAUGAUGAACCUGGCUUACAGAAGGAAUUUGGUGGUUAAGGGAAUCCCUGCUAUUGCAGCAAAACGUUUUUAUGUUUCCUAGGCAACUAAAAUACUUAAGAAGUGGAGGCAGUUUAAGUAGAAAAAUGCUUUACAACUAAAGGGAAAAAAAUCCCCCCCCCCCCCCCCGCUCUUUUUUUGUUAAAGGUGAUAUGUGGCUAGAUAACAUCAAAAUGGAAUGGGGGAAAAAAGAUUUUACUGAGUUGGUAAUUGUUCAUGAUGUGCAAUUGAGAGUAUUAAAAGAAGUAUAAUGGUGACUGUGUUUUAUUUUUAUAUGUUAAUUCCUUUUAUUCAGUUGAUUUAAUAUUCUACAUUUUACAAUUAUCAGGCUGAACUUUCUACUAAUCUCUUUCUAUUUUAAGCAGCUUGUGAAUUUUUAAAAAAUCUCUACCAUAUGUCAAUUCUCUUUGGAAUAACUAAGUGUGAAAUCUACCUGUGAAAAACUAUUUUCAAUGUGUGAAGUGCAUCUUUCAAACUGAUAAAGAUGAUAAAAUUAUUCUGAUCAUGGCAUAAUGGACUAGCCACAAUUGAAUUCAAAUAUGCUUGGCACGGAAUAUCUGGAAAUCAAGCUAGGAAGAAAAAAAUGGAAGUUUAUUGGAAUAUUUAAGCUGGGAUGAUGGGAGUCCUAGAUAUAAUUUACAUAUAUCAAUAUUAAUUAAUUAUAUAUCAAUCAUCAGACUGCUUUUUAAUAUAAAUUACUAGUGUAUUUUCUUCAAUUUAACUUCACAAUAGCCCAGUAAUUUCUCAAUAUCAUAAAAAAUCCUAAGUUAAAUUGUACUAAACACUACUUCCUUUUUAAUAAAGGCCAUGAGACAUAUAAUGACGGCAUUUUUUUUUUUCUUUCAGUCAGUUGAUGGUAGAGACACAUUUCGAUGAUUGUUUUAGGAUUCCUUUCUCAGGGUGCUUAAUUUGGGGGGGGGUCUGCUAAAUCCUUCUUAACCAAGGGAGCUAAAAUUAUCAUUGUUAAAAUUCAAGUGAAUACAGCACAUUUGAAGUCAUGUUCAAAAGCAUCUUGCUCCCAUCUUUUGUUGUUUGGUAUUUAUAUUGACCCAGAAUCCAGUCAGCAUGCAUGUUUUGCUCUCAUGGAUCAUUGAUUUACACAGUGUCCAUAAAAAUCUCAAGUUCACAUGGCAAAGCUCUCUAAGAAAGACGUUUUCCUUACUGAUAUCGUGCUUUAAAAAUGCAACAUCUCUAUGUGUUUCUUUCCGGUUCUCAUUAAAAAUUAACUAGAAAUAAAAUUGUCAAAAUAGCUUU